GAUGAACGCUGGCGGCGUGCCUAAUACAUGCCAGUCGAGCGAACGGACGAGAAGCUUGCUUCUCUGAUGUUAGCGGCGGACAGGUGAGUAACACGUGGAUAACCUACCUAUAAGACUGGGAUAACUUCGGGAAACCGGAGCUAAUACCGGAUGAUAUUUUGAACCGCAUGGUUCAAAAGUGAAAGACGGUCUUGCUGUCACUUAUAGAUGGAUCCGCGCUGCAUUAGCUAGUUGGUAAGGUAACGGCUUACCAAGGCAACGAUGCAUAGCCGACCUGAGAGGGUGAUCGGCCACACUGGAACUGAGACACGGUCCAGACUCCUACGGGAGGCAGCAGUAGGGAAUCUUCCGCAAUGGGCGAAAGCCUGACGGAGCAACGCCGCGUGAGUGAUGAAGGUCUUCGGAUCGUAAAACUCUGUUAUUAGGGAAGAACAUAUGUGUAAGUAACUGUGCACAUCUUGACGGUACCUAAUCAGAAAGCCACGGCUAACUACGUG
rnacentral:rRNA from 1 species